CGACAUCGUCCAAUCACCCUACACGUACCGCUGACGUACCACCAAUCAUCUGGAGGUAGCUCCCUCCGUUACCAUGGUCUCCUCUGACUGCUCCUCUCCCAAAUUUCCUGUGAUGGCCCUUUUCAUUGUUUCGUUCAAAUGCCUGCCUUGGAGUCCACCACUUGCAUUCCCCUAACUCAGAUCAGAGCCAAGACUUCACCCAAGAACAAGGCAAAGAGUUGAUCAAUCGCAUGAGUAGUCAAUCAGACUUCCAGGACUCUGAAGUCUUUUUCCCUUUCAAUAUGGACCUCAAUGAAGGCUUUCAAAAGGACAACCCGACCAUUCCAUGCUUGGUCUUUUUACCUCCAGUGGGAUGCAGUCCUACAAUUCCUUGAUCAAGUCAUUUGAUUCCAUGGACCACAUAAGUAACUCUUCGACUCAUACCAUAGACAUUCCAGGCUCAGGUGAAGCCAUCCCUUCUGAUCCUUCUGAAGAUGCUUUUUACCAGCCCCUGUCACCU